rnacentral:rRNA from 1 species
GACGAACGCUGGCGGCGUGCUUAACACAUGCAAGUCGAACGGAAAGGCCCUGCUUUUGUGGGGUGCUCGAGUGGCGAACGGGUGAGUAACACGUGAGUAACCUGCCCUUGACUUUGGGAUAACUUCAGGAAACUGGGGCUAAUACCGGAUAGGAGCUCCUGCUGCAUGGUGGUGGUUGGAAAGUUUCGGCGUUUGGGGAUGGACUCGCGGCUUAUCAGCUUGUUGGUGGGGUAGUGGCUUACCAAGGCUUUGACGGGUAGCCGGCCUGAGAGGGUGACCGGCCACAUUGGGACUGAGAUACGGCGCAGACUGCUACGGGAGGCAGCAGGGGGGAAUAUUGCACAAUGGGCGGAAGUCUGAUGCAGCAACGCCGCGUGCGGGAUGACGGCCUUCGGGUUGUAAACCGCUUUCGCCUGUGACGAAGCGUGAGUGACGGUAAUGGGUAAAGAAGCACCGGCUAACUACGUG